rnacentral:rRNA from 1 species
GUGAGGAAUAUUGGUCAAUGGGCGGGAGCCUGAACCAGCCAAGUCGCGUGAAGGAAGAAGGAUCUAUGGUUCGUAAACUUCUUUUGCAGGGGAAUAAAGUGCAGGACGUGUCCUGUUUUGUAUGUACCCUGAGAAUAAGGAUCGGCUAACUCCGUGCCAGCAGCCGCGGUAAUACGGAGGAUCCGAGCGUUAUCCGGAUUUAUUGGGUUUAAAGGGUGCGUAGGUGGUUUGAUAAGUCAGCGGUGAAAGUUUGCAGCUUAACUGUAAAAAUGCCGUUGAAACUGUAGGACUUGAGUGUAAAUGAGGUAGGCGGAAUGCGUUGUGUAGCGGUGAAAUGCAUAGAUAUCACGCAGAACUCCGAUUGCGGAGGCAGCUUACUAAGCUACAACUGACACUGAAGCACGAAAGCGUGGGGAUCAAACAGGAUUAGAAACCCUGGUAGUCC